rnacentral:rRNA from 1 species
UAGGGAAUCUUCCGCAAUGGACGAAAGUCUGACGGAGCAACGCCGCGUGAGUGAUGAAGGUUUUCGGAUCGUAAAACUCUGUUGUCAGGGAAGAACAAGUACGAUAGUAACUGAUCGUACCUUGACGGUACCUGACCAGAAAGCCACGGCUAACUACGUGCCAGCAGCCGCGGUAAUACGUAGGUGGCAAGCGUUGUCCGGAAUUAUUGGGCGUAAAGCGCUCGCAGGCGGUUCUUUAAGUCUGAUGUGAAAUCUUGCGGCUCAACCGCAAACGUGGAUUGGAAACUGGAGGACUUGAGUGCAGAAGAGGAGAGUGGAAUUCCACGUGUAGCGGUGAAAUGCGUAGAGAUGUGGAGGAACACCAGUGGCGAAGGCGACUCUCUGGUCUGUAACUGACGCUGAGGAGCGAAAGCGUGGGGAGCGAACAGG